CCUGGCUUAGGAUGAACGCUAGCGACAGGCCUAACACAUGCAAGUCGAGGGGCAGCACAAGGAGCAAUCUGAGGUGGCGACCGGCGCACGGGUGAGUAACACGUAUGCAACCUGCCUGUAAGCGGGGAAUAACCCGUUGAAAGACGGACUAAUACCGCAUAAUACUAAAUUACUGCAUGGUAAUUUAUUUAAACAUUUAUGGCUUACAGAUGGGCAUGCGCAUGAUUAGCUAGUUGGAGAGGUAACGGCUCCCCAAGGCAACGAUCAUUAGGGGUUCUGAGAGGAAGGUCCCCCACACUGGUACUGAGACACGGACCAGACUCCUACGGGAGGCAGCAGUGAGGAAUAUUGGUCAAUGGACGAGAGUCUGAACCAGCCAAGUCGCGUGCAGGAAGAAUGUUCCCUAUGGAUUGUAAACUGCUUUCGCGAGGGGAAAUAAAGUGCAUCACGUGUGAUUGUUUUGUAUGUACUCUGCGAAUAAGGAUCGGCUAACUCCGUGCCAGCCGCGGC
rnacentral:rRNA from 1 species